rnacentral:rRNA from 1 species
CAGCAGCCGCGGUAAUACGUAGGGGGCGAGCGUUACCCGGAUUCACUGGGCGUAAAGGGGGUGUAGGCGGCUCGGUAAGUCGGGUGUGAAAUCCCACGGCUCAACCGUGGAAUUGCGCCCGAAACUGCCGAGCUUGGGGCCGGUAGAGGGAGACGGAACUGCCGGUGUAGGGGUGAAAUCCGUAGAUAUCGGCAGGAACGCCGGUGGGGAAGCCGGUCUCCUGGGCCGCGCCCGACGCUGAGGCCCGAAAGCUAGGGGAGCAAACCGGAUUAGAUACCCGGGUAGUCCUAGCCGUAAACGAUGCCCACUAGGUGUGGGGGAGUAUUUCCUCCGUGCUGUAGCUAACGCGUUGAGUGGGCCGCCUGGGGAGUACGCCCGCAAGGGUGAAACUUAAAGGAAUUGGCGGG